rnacentral:rRNA from 1 species
UGAACGCUAGCGGCAGGCCUAACACAUGCAAGUCGAGGGGCAGCAGACCACUUCGGUGGUGCUGGCGACCGGCGCACGGGUGAGUAUCGCGUUUGUAACCUACCCUUAACUGGGGCAUAGCCCGAAGAAAUUCGGAUUAAUACCCCAUUAAAUUUUAGCACGGCAUCGUGCUUCCAUUAAAGCUCCGGCGGUUAAGGAUGGGCAUGCGUGACAUUAGUUUGUUGGUGAGGUAACGGCUCACCAAGACUACGAUGUCUAGGGGGUCUGAGAGGAUGAUCCCCCACACUGGUACUGAGACACGGACCAGACUCCUACGGGAGGCAGCAGUGAGGAAUAUUGGGCAAUGGACGAAAGUCUGACCCAGCCAUGCCGCGUGCAGGAUGACGGCGCUAUGCGUUGUAAACUGCUUUUAUACAGGAAGAAACCCUCCUACGUGUAGGAGGUUGACGGUACUGUAAGAAUAAGCAUCGGCUAACUCC